rnacentral:pre_miRNA from 1 species
UAUGUACUCCCUCCGUCCGGAAAUACUUGUCAUCAAAAUGGAUGAAAAUGGAUGUAUCUACAACUAAAAUACAUCUAGAUACAUCCAUUUCAAUGACAAGUAUUUGCGGACGGAGGAAGUACGUA